AACAAAAGUCAAAGUAUAUUGGUAGGGACGGAGAAUGAUUUAGAACGUUUUGCGAUCCUAAAUCAUUUUUUUUAACUCCGAUACCUACAGAAAACAUCAGUUCUACAAAUAAAGGAGUUUAAGGAAAAAUGCGUAUCUGACACCAACGUAUCGGUAGCAAACACUUUUUGCAGCUUUCCACGUGUUGAGAAAUCCACCAGAUGAUAAUUUUUUGCGCCCCGGGAAUUUUACCGUGAAGCACUACGCCUUGAGAUAAUCUUCCACGCCUUGAAAAGACUGAUAUGAGAUAGAUUCCACGCCUCGGGGACCCCAUCACGAAUCACUAUGUUUCGAGCAACUCACAAGUGAAAGGUGACAAGUUUCCGCGCCUUGGUCAACAUUUCGUAGAUUCCUACGCCUCGAGCGACCUGUUGAAUGAUGAUUUUCCACGCCUUGGGAAGUCUAAUCUGGGACAAUCUCCAUGCCUUGGGAGCCCUAUCGUGAACUCCUAUGCCUCGAGAAAUUCACAAGUGAAAUUCCAUACUCCGGGAAUAACACUAAACAUAAACGCCUUGGGAUACAGUCGUCGUCUUCUAUGCCUUAAGAAGUACGCAAUGAUCUACAAUUUUCCACGCCUUGGGAGAACUUGUAUAGUAAUUACGUGUCUCUACGCCUUGAGAAACUUGUGACACAGUCAAUCAAGUUGUUUUGUUUUGACAACCUCCAUAUUCUCAGUGAGCGCCAUGGAAGACAACUAUGCUUCAAGCCGUCUUCUCAAAUCAAGGUGACAACUUCAACAUUUUAGGGAACGCUGUUGAAGACCACUACGCCUCGACCUGUCUUCUCAAAUCCUCUCGUCUUCACACCUUGGAAGUGAUAGGUUCUCACGCCUUGGAAAACCUACCAUAAAACCUUACUCCUCAAGAUUUUACCGAGCUCAAAUCAAUUUCGUAGAAAUCUUCUAUUUUAGAAAAUUCUUGAUUAUGAUCAAUCACUACUCAAAUAAUGUGGUCAAUCAAUACUCAAAUAUGCUCAAUUAAUCAAUAUGAUUGUCAUCAGGCCGAUCAUCAAUCAAAUGUGAUUGUAAUCAGGCCAAACAUCAAUCGAAUUAAUUGCUUAGAGGCUAAAUGGCGCGCCAUAGAGCUUAAACGGAUAAAUGAGGUCCACAAAAUCAGCGUAUGAGACCCACAAAGUCUAACGUGGCCAACAACAGACGCAUCGCGCAGCACCAGGUUGUAUCGCGUUGUGUUGGGAGUAUCGCCUCGCGAUAUGCAUAUCGCGUCGCGACAAAUUCAUUGCGUCUGCUGCUUUCAUUUUGUUCGUUCGCUCGCGGAACUUCAAGUUGCACGUUCUUGAUCGUUUGUUGACCAAAUUCACUUAAAUAUUUUGCAAAUCUUCGCAUUUUCUCUCUAAUUUACCGAUCUAUGUAAGUUCUGGUCAAACUUCUCUUAAUUUCGGCAAAUUUUAGGCGUUUUAUUUGCGAUUUUUCGGGAAGUUCGAACAUGUUUGUGUUAAUUUCUUCAAGUUCUGCCGAAUCUCUUGUUUUGAAAUUGCUUGAACAUGUUUGUAUAUUUCUUCGUGAGUAAUUUGAGACUAGAAUUGCUUGAUUUGGUGAAGAAACGAGAUUUCUUCCAUUGUUGAACAGUCUAGGUUCGUGAGUACAAUGUAACCAGUUCUUCGUGAUUUUGCUUGCUCUUUGUACUUAAUUUGUUGCAAUAUUUGCCAAAAACUUGUAAGAAAUUGUUUUAGCGCUCAAAAUUUUUGUUAUCGUGCAAAUCAAAAUCAUGCUCUGUUUUUGUAUUUUGUACUCUGUUUUUUACGAACAUAGUAUCAUGCGGCUAAGUGAACUUAGAUACUAUAGAACCUUUAAUUUAUUGUUUUUAUGUCAACAACAAAUAGGUUCCAACCCGUAAGCGACGGCAAUGGUGCUUCUACCAGCCAGGGGUGGUCAUUUUAAAGUUGGACGAGCAUACCCUGGCCUUUCAGCCAAUUUACACAUUUCCCAGCGCGUCCGGCUGGGUAUCACCGAUGAGCACGUUUGUUGUCACACCUCAGGCAACGAUAGCAUUUCGUACAUUUAUCGCCAUUGCAUUGAGAGGAAUGAGGCGAUGAGGGCUCUCUGGGAGUCUUGCGGGUUGACACCUCUUUUCCGGGUCGCUACGGCUGUUCAUCCUUGGCGAGAUAGUCAUUGCAUUGUUUGGGGUGUCGUGGAGUUUUUCUGGGAUACCACGAACACUUUUCAUUUCCCAUGGGGUAAGAUGACUAAUAUUCUCCUCGACUUCACUAUUAUCACUGGCCUAGAGUUUCGGCCUACUCCGCUUCCUGCAGACGGGAUGCAUACUCUAGUUUCUCCCGAGACUGCGUAGUUGCUAGGCCCUAUGAUCCAUCGAGCCGCUACUAAGGCUCAGAAUUUAAACACCAGCAUAAGGUCAACCCGUAGGACGCUACUUACGGAAGCUUUUGAUGAUGAUGCAACCACUCAGGAGCAGCGGGUGCGUAUCUUUGUUCUCAUUCUCAUGUCGGGGACUUUCUCUCCUGACAGGGGAAGUCGUGUCUUAUUGCACUAUCUCUCCUCCUUGUGCAUUCUUCAGCUGAUCGGCACGUAUGACUAAGCCAGCCUUGGCUAUGCUGACUUGCUUUUGGGAUUGCGGUUGGCCUAUCGUCAGCGAUAGUGUAGUUCAAAGAUUACUCUCUCUAGUUUCUGGAAAAUUAUAGAGACAUGUGUCCUUCUAUUUUGGUGGGUUUAGUUUUCUUCUCGAUAUUUAUCGAGUCUUAGGUUUUCUAUCUCCUUGCAGGUCUGCCUCUACGAGUACUUCCCUUCUUUGGUGCCGGUAAGUCCUCGAGCUAGAGGGCUCCCUAUCGUAGCUAGCUGGUAGGGACACCGAGUUACUACUGCUUCUGUUAGGGCUGUGAUUCUUAAGGUUGGCUUCUCAGUAUACUACUUAGAGGCGUUUCUUCUAAGGUACCUAUGAUGUAGUAUGGUACCUGGGCGAGAGGGUGGCCAUUCAGCACUUCUUGACUGUUCAUGUAGUUCCUGCUAACCCUCCUGCUCAGAUGAUGAGUUAGGAGCGGCUCUGGAUUCAUGCUGCCAUCAGAGCGAUUGGUGAGGACUAGCGGAUAUAUAGUAACCCCGACCGUCCUUAUGUGGAGGUGUUACCUCCUCGGCUAGCUUCGCCACCCUACAGUGAAGAGGAGGAGUCGGAGGAGCUUACGGAGUUUGUGCCUUCACGAAUGUCCAUCACUUAUUAGGGGACCUAUGGACUAGUCGAAGAGAUGAUUCCUCCAGCGCCGAAGGAGUGGCGAUUAGUGUCCUAGUCUAUUCCUUGUCACCAGACUUGGUUCUCUCGCGAGGUGGUGACGCGGAUGACAGCGGCCAUGGGCGCCUUCCCAUACCAGCUGGUGAGAUGGAGUCAUUGAGUCUCGUGUCGACGUACGGAUGAAGUUGUGCCGGUAUGCCUUUGUACAUUUGCUUUUAUUUGUUCUUUUUUGCCUUUUUAUGCCUGAAUCGUUUUGUUGUUUUUAUUUCCGCCUGCUCCUUAGCCAUGCACUCGUUGAGGCCAGAGAGCUCGAGGGAUCGAGGCGUCAGCGUACCUCUUUGGAGACCCCAGUUAGGCAGAGGCGUCCAGUCAGGCCGUGGUUGAGGAUGAUAGCAGCUCAUCGUCAAGGGAUGUGAGGCCACCUCGUUAUGGUACUCUGGUGCUCUGUCCUCACGAGUCCCCGAGUGUUUUUCUGGCUGGUCCGUCCUCUCGACCUGGUGAUGGGAUGUACGAGGUAGGCUCGUCAUCGCAACAACCAGAGUCUACACCCUUUGCUGGCGGGAGUUUUCAGCAGUACGGGCCACAUGGAGGUACUUAGUGGACUGUUCUUACGAUCACAAUCUCGACGACUGGUGGUGCUGAUACUGAUCAAGCGUGGACUCCACGUGGUGCGCAAUUCUAUGAUGUCAUGGGAAUUCCUCGAGAUUUGCGUCCUCCAGCGCCAUAGUUUCUCCUGCAUGUAUUUUUUGGACUUUCUAGGACUUUGCUCAUAUUUUGUAUAUUUUAAUAACUCUUUUAUUAGACUUAUGUGUACACUAGACUUUACUUAUUAUGUACAUUCUUUAGUCUUUUUA